GACGAACGCUGGCGGCGUGCCUAACACAUGCAAGUCGAGCGGGGUGAGCGAGAGGUAACUCGAACUUCUACCUAGCGGCGGACGGGUGAGUAACGCGUGGGCAACCUGCCUCAAGGUCUGGGAUAACAGCCCGAAAGGGCUGCUAAUACCGGGUAUGCUUGUGGCCUCGCAUGGGGCUACGAGCAAAGGGGAAACCCGCCUUGAGAUGGGCCCGCGUCCCAUCAGCUAGUUGGUGAGGUAACAGCUCACCAAGGCGACGACGGGUAGCCGGCCUGAGAGGGUGACCGGCCACACUGGGACUGAGACACGGCCCAGACUCCUACGGGGGGCAGCAGUGGGGGAUCUUGCACAAUGGGCGAAAGCCUGAUGCAGCGACGCCGCGUGAGCGAAGAAGGCCUUGGGUUGUAAAGCUCUGUCUGGAGGGACGAAGGAAGUGACGGUACCUCCGGAGGAAGCCACGGCUAACUACGUG
rnacentral:rRNA from 1 species